rnacentral:lncRNA from 1 species
GCAACAAACAUGUAUUCUUCCACUGCUAUAACAUCCCUAAUCCCCUUAAUCUUACCGAUUACCAUUACCUUAGCCAACCCCCGCAAAAGUUUCACACCCAAAUUACGUAAAAACAUCUAUCGCAUGUGCCUUCGUUAUUAGCCUCAUUCCUACAACAAUGUUGAUAUGCACAGACCAAGAAGUCAUUAUCUCAAACUGACACUGAAUGACCGUCCAAACUCUCAAACUCUCACUAAGCUUCAAGCUAGACUAAUUCUCCACAAUAUUUAUCCCAGUAACACUCACUGUUCAUUACCUGAUCUAUUAUAGAAUUCUCAAUAUGAUAUAUAAACUCAGACCCUAACAUUAAUCAAUUGUUCAAAUACUUAUUUUCCUCAUCACAAUAUUAAUUCUGGUUACCGCCAACAACCUCUUUCAGCUCUUCAUUGGAUGAGAAGGCGUAGGAAUCAUGUCUUUCUUACUAAUCGGCUGAUGGUACGGCCGAGCAGAUGCUAAUACAGCAGCCAAGCAGUUCUGUACAACCGCAUCGGCAAUAUUGGCUUUAUUUCAGCUAUAGCAUGAUUCCUCCUGUCCUCCAACACAUGAGAAUAUCAGCAAAAAAUAAAUUCUAGACCCUACCCCCAACUCCCUCCCAUUAAUUAGCCUUCUCUUAGCAGCAGCAGGAAAGUCAGCUCAAUUCGGCCUCCAUCCCUGACUCCCAUCUGCCAUAGAAGGCCCAGCCCCAGUCUCAGCCCUACUCCACUCCAGCACUAUAGUUGUAGCAGGAGUGUUCCUGCUCAUCUGCUUCUACCCUUUAAUAGAAAAUAACCUAUCAAUCCAAACCUUUACAUUAUGUCUGGGGGCUAUUACUACCUUAUUCACAGCCACCUGUGCUGUAACACAAAAUGAUAUCAAAAAUAUCAUAGCAUUCUCCACCUCAAGCCAGUUAGGCCUUAUAAUAGUCACAAUUGGCAUUAAUCAGCUGCAUCUAGCAUUCCUUCACAUCUGCACCCAUGCCUUUUUCAAAACUAUAUUAUUUAUAUGUUCAGCGUCCCUCAUCCAUAACCUCAGUGAAGAACAAGACAUCCGAAAAAUAGGAGGGCUAUUCAAGACUCUACCCCUCACUUCCUCCUCCCAUUUUAUCAGCAGCCUCACAACUUACAGGUAUGCCUUCCUCACAGGCUUUUACUCCAAAGACCUCAUUAUUGAACCUGCAAACACAUCAUACACCAAUGCCUGAGCCCUUUCUAUUACGCUUAUUGCCACCUCCUUGACAGCUGUCUACAGUACCCAUAUUAUUUUCUUCGCUCUAAUAGGGCAACCUUACUUCAUGACUCUGGUUAUUAUUAACGAAAAUAACCCCUUCCUAAUUAAACACCUAACAAUCAGCAGCAUCUUCGCCGGAUUCCUCCUCACCAACAGUAUUAUUCCUGCGUCAUCCCCCCAAACAACCAUACCACUCCACCUGAAGCUCACAGCCCUAGGUGUGACCACCUUAGGCUUCUUACUAGCAAUGGAGUUUAAUCUCAUAACUAAUAACCUUAAACUAAAAUACCCACUACAGACAUUCAACUUCUCCAAAAUACUAGGAUUCUAUUCAGUCACAAUUCACCAUACAACCCCCAACUCAAACCUAUCCACAAGCCAAAAUCUGGCUUCACUACUACUAGACCUAAUUUGACUAGAAAAGUCUAUACCAAAGACCAUUUCACAAACCCAAAUUUCAGCCUCCAUUACUGUGUCUACUCAAAAAGGCCUAAUUAAACUCUACUUUCUCUCUUUUUUUAUCCCAUCCCUUUUAACCCUACUCCUAAU